UUUUGCUCUCUUCUCCUAUAAUUUGAUUGACUAUCUUUAGUCUUUAGUGUUAUGACUGAUUUUUUUCUUUUUUUGUGUGUGUAUAUACUAUAGAUUUGGGGGCUUUGGUUACCAUGAGAUUUAUAUAACCACAUAUAUAUGAUUGUUUUCAGUUGAUGAUCUCUCACUUUUUUUUUUAAUGGCCGCAUCUAUGUAUGACAUAUGGAAGUUCCCAGGCUAGGGGUCGAAUUGGAGCUAUAGAUGCUGGCUUACCUGCCGCUCCGAAUCCACUCCUUGCCACAGGUGCGACCCUCAAAGGAAAAAAGAAAAAGUUCUUUAUCUUUUGCCACUUUGUCAUGUGUGUCUUGGUGGAUACCUCUGUAGGUUCAUCUUGUUUAAGACUUUCUGUGCUUCCUGGACCUGGUUGUUUCCUUCCCCAAGUUAGGAAAGAAACUUUAUUUCUUCAAAUAAGUUCUCUGCCUGUUUCUCUCUUCUUCUGGCACUCAGGUAAUGCAAAUGUUAGUAUGCUGGAUGCUGUCUCCAAGGUUUCUUUAAAUUGUCAUCAUUUUUCAAAACUAUUUGUUCUGUUUCGCUUGAGUGAUUUCCACUGCUCUGGCUUCCAGACAGCUGAUCCAUUCCUCUGUAUCAUCUAAUUGGUUGAUUCUGUCUAGUUUAUUUUUGUCACUGUAUCUUCAGCUUUAUAGUCCUUUUAUUCUCUGUUGACAACUUCACUGUGCUCACUCAUUCUUCUUCCCAGACUCUAGAUUUUGACAUCGUGACCUUGCUCUCUAUCCUGGAGAUGGCUUUUUCUCCACUUCAUAUGGUUCUUUCCCUGAGGUUAGGUUUUGUUCCUCCAUUGGGAACAUAUUCUCUGUGGUUAUUUCUCUGUUAGGUAGGCCAGCUGCUUUCCCAGUCUUGAAGGGGUCUUAUGUUGGAGAUGUCCUCUGGGGCCCAGCAGCACACACCCCUCUGGCCACCAGAGCUGUAUGCCCUAGGGACGCCCCCAUGUGGGACGUGCGCCUGUCUGGUGGUGGGUGUGCUGGUAGGUGGGCCUGGCUCCUGGCCCAUGUGGUGGUGAGGCUGUGCCUCGCACAGUGCUUGUACCUGCUGGAGGGCAGGGUGGGCCUCCCACACAGUUGGGCACUCAACAGGGGCACAGAGCUGCUGCUGGCCCGAUGGAAGGUG
rnacentral:lncRNA from 1 species